rnacentral:rRNA from 1 species
GACGAACGCUGGCGGCGUGGAUUAGGCAUGCAAGUCGGACGGUAGGGCUUUAUCGUAAGAUAGAGUUUGAGAGUGGCGAACGGGUGAGUAACACGUAGGAAUCUACCCUUAAGACGGGGACAACCCAGGGAAACUUGGGCUAAUACCGGAUGAGAGUGCGAGAGAUUGCAUUUAAAAGGAUGGCGAAAGUUGUCGCUUAGGGAUGAGCCUGCGGUCUAUUAGUUAGUUGGUGAGGUAAGAGCUCACCAAGGCGAUGAUAGAUAGGCGGCCUUAACGGGUGGUCGCCCACACUGGGAUUGAGAUACGGCCCAGACUCCUACGGGAGGCAGCAGUCGAGAAUAGUCUACAAUGGCCGGAAGGCUGAUAGUGCGACGCCGCGUGAACGAGGGAGCCCUUCGGGGUGUAAAGCACUUUCGUCUGUGAAGAUAAUGACAGUAGCAGAAGAAGAAGCUCCGGCUAAAUUCGUG